AUUGAACGCUGGCGGCAGGCCUAACACAUGCAAGUCGAACGGUAACAGGAAGAAGCUUGCUUCUUUGCUGACGAGUGGCGGACGGGUGAGUAAUGUCUGGGAAACUGCCUGAUGGAGGGGGAUAACUACUGGAAACGGUAGCUAAUACCGCAUAACGUCGCAAGACCAAAGAGGGGGACCUUCGGGCCUCUUGCCAUCGGAUGUGCCCAGAUGGGAUUAGCUAGUAGGUGGGGUAACGGCUCACCUAGGCGACGAUCCCUAGCUGGUCUGAGAGGAUGACCAGCCACACUGGAACUGAGACACGGUCCAGACUCCUACGGGAGGCAGCAGUGGGGAAUAUUGCACAAUGGGCGCAAGCCUGAUGCAGCCAUGCCGCGUGUAUGAAGAAGGCCUUCGGGUUGUAAAGUACUUUCAGCGGGGAGGAAGGGAGUAAAGUUAAUACCUGUGCUCAUUGACGUUACCCGCAGAAGAAGCACCGGCUAACUCCGU
rnacentral:rRNA from 1 species